rnacentral:rRNA from 1 species
GUAGGGGGCAAGCGUUGUCCGGAUUUAUUGGGCGUAAAGAGCGUGUAGGCGGCUUUACAGGUCCGUUGUGAAAACUCGAGGCUCAACCUCGAGACGCCGGUGGAAACCGUAAAGCUAGAGUCCGGAAGAGGAGAGUGGAAUUCCUGGUGUAGCGGUGAAAUGCGCAGAUAUCAGGAGGAACACCCGUGGCGAAAGCGGCUCUCUGGGACGGUACUGACGCUGAGACGCGAAAGCGUGGGGAGCAAACAGG